UACGAAGGGGGCUAGCGUUGUUCGGAAUUACUGGGCGUAAAGCGCGCGCAGGCGGUUCUCCAAGUCAGUGGUGCAAGCCCGGAGCUCAACUCCGGAAUUGCCAUUGAAACUGUUGAACUCGAGGACGAGAGAGGUGAGUGGAAUUCCCAGUGUAGAGGUGAAAUUCGUAGAUAUUGGGAAGAACACCGGUGGCGAAGGCGGCUCACUGGCUCGUUUCUGACGCUCAGGCGCGACAGCGUGGGGAUCAAACAGG
rnacentral:rRNA from 1 species